UACGUAGGGUGCAAGCGUUAAUCGGAAUUACUGGGCGUAAAGCGUGCGCAGGCGGUUCUAUAAGACAGAUGUGAAAUCCCCGGGCUCCAACCUGGGAACUGGCAUUUGUGACUGUAGAGCUGGAGUACGGGCGAGAGGGGGGAUGGAAUUCCGGCGUGGUAAGCAGUGAAAUGCGUAGAUAAUGCGGAGGAACACCGAUGGCGGAAGGGCAACUCCCCGUGGGCCUGGU
rnacentral:rRNA from 1 species